rnacentral:rRNA from 1 species
GAUCAUGGCUCAGGAUGAACGCUGGCGGCGUGCUUAACACAUGCAAGUCGAACGAAGCACUUCUGAAUGAUCCUUCGGGUGAAUGAAGGGGUGACUGAGUGGCGGACGGGUGAGUAACGCGUGGGCAACCUGCCUCGUACAGGGGGACAACAGUUGGAAACGACUGCUAAUACCGCAUAAGCGCACAGUACCGCAUGGUACAGUGUGAAAAACUCCGGUGGUACGAGAUGGGCCCGCGUUGGAUUAGCUAGUUGGUGAGGUAACGGCUCACCAAGGCGACGAUCAGUAGCCGGCCUGAGAGGGUGAACGGCCACAUUGGGACUGAGACACGGCCCAAACUCCUACGGGAGGCAGCAGUGGGGAAUAUUGCACAAUGGGGGAAACCCUGAUGCAGCGACGCCGCGUGAGUGAAGAAGUAUUUCGGUAUGUAAAGCUCUAUCAGCAAGGAAGAAAAUGACGGUACUUGACUAAGAAGCCCCGGCUAACUACGUG